rnacentral:rRNA from 1 species
GAUGAACGCUGGCGGCGUGCCUAAUACAUGCAAGUCGAGCGAACAGACGAGGAGCUUGCUCCUCUGACGUUAGCGGCGGACGGGUGAGUAACACGUGGAUAACCUACCUAUAAGACUGGGAUAACUUCGGGAAACCGGAGCUAAUACCGGAUAAUAUAUUGAACCGCAUGGUUCAAUAGUGAAAGACGGCUUUGCUGUCACUUAUCGAUGGAUCCGCGCCGGAUUAGCUAGUUGGUAAGGUAACGGCUUACCAAGGCGACGAUGCGUAGCCGACCUGAGAGGGUGAUCGGCCACACUGGAACUGAGACACGGUCCAGGCUACUACGGGAGGCAGCAGUAGGGAAUCUUCCGCAAUGGGCGAAAGCCUGACGGAGCAACGCCGCGUGAGUGAUGAAGGUCUUCGGAUCGUAAAACUCUGUUAUUAGGGAAGAACAAAUGUGUAAGUAACUAUGCACGUCUUGACGGUACCUAAUCAGAAAGCCACGGCUAACUACGUG